rnacentral:tmRNA from 1 species
GUAAAGAGCUCUUUAACAUCUGCAUACCGACUUUGACUAAGGAAGUCGUUAAAAAGAGUCAAAAAAUAUCUGUCACUAAAAAUGUACAGACAUUCGGAGAAAAGGUUCUCGCUGCUAUUGAUGCAGUUGGUUCCAGUCUCUUCGGAUCCUCAGUCGUAGCAGUUACUGCUCGCGCCUAAGGCAUUUACAUCUUAGUCGCUCAUGGCGACGAUGUAGGUGGAAAUACACAUGAGCCGUAAGCCUGACGCGGUCGGUCGGGCCCAUAUCAAAGACCACCCUCGUGAUUAUUUUGGUUCGUUAGUUACCUAGUAAUCUAGAGGUUAAAAUCUAAAAUCUAAACAAGUAUGUAGAUGGUGUUAAUCACUUUUUGCGGACGAGGGCUCAUUGCCCUCCGUCUCCACAU